rnacentral:rRNA from 1 species
CCCUUAGAUGUUCUGGGCCGCACACGCGCUACACUGAAGGAGGCAGCGUGUACUCCUGGAUCGAAAGAUUUGGGUAACCCGCGAAUCUCCUUCGUGCUAGGGAUUGAGGUUUGCAAUUAUCCUUCAUGAACGAGGAAUUCCCAGUAAGUGCAAGUCAUAAGCUUGCGCUGACUACGUCCCUGCCCUUUGUACACACCGCCCGUCGCUACUACCGAUUGAAUGAUUUAGUGAGGACUUCGGACUGGGACCGAUGCGGCUUUCGGGCUGCGUCGGUAUUCUGGAAUGAUGUCCAAACUGUAUCAUUUAGAGGAAGUAAAANUCGUANCA